GCAAAAUGGGAUAGUUAUUUUAUUCGACUCCCCCUUACUCUUAAACCUUUCAAAAAGAGAAAUCAUAUGACAAAGAUAAAGCAAAUCCAUCUGUCUUCAUGUUCUAGGACACCCAGAAUCCAAACAAAGGUUAAAAAAAAAAGCCUAAAACCUAUGACUAAAAGAAGGCUCAAAUACUCAAAUUCUUUCCAGGAAGACUCGCCCUGUACCCUUAUGUUUCAGGGUUCCCAGCAACCCAAACUGCAUCACAGACAUCUUCGAAUAAAUACUGAAAAACAAAGGAGAUAGAGGACUCCUAUGGAAUAUGAUACACACAGAACUACAACAUGAUUUGUUCUCAAGUGCUUCAAAAGGAAAAUGAGAAUUAUGAACACAUAAUUAAUGGCCUGCAUAGGAAGAAUAAUUGGUAGAAUUAGAAAAACUGGAAUCUUCAAUGGCAAGUAACAAAAGCAAAGUAAUAAAAAGGAGAACAAUAGACUGGGAAGCAAAUUCACAGAAGUGAAAGACUCUUGGAGAAGCAAAAAACAGUAACAUUAAAAGGAAAUAUGCUCAUUUUGCAAGCAAAACAUACUGAUCUAGAAGACAGAACAUAUAAAGAACAAUCUAAGAAUCGUAACUCUCCCAGAAGAACACAACAGGGCAAAAAACCUUAAUCCUAUUAUGAAGGAAAUAGAAAAGAGCUGCCCAGAACUUCUGAACACAGAAAAUGAAAUAUCAAUCAAAAGAAUUUAUAGAUUGCUUCCAGGAAAAAAAAAACAGCUGCAAACUGCAAGACACACAGUGGUUAAAGUUAAUUCAAUUCAGAAAUAAGUUCAGCAAGCAAUCAGAAGAAAGCCAUUCAAACAAAAAGAAAAAGACAUUUGAAUAAGGCAAGACUGUUCUGCACCCACCAACAAAUAUAAUAGAAAGUAUAGCAAAGAGCAAAGAAGCUCAAGAUGCAAGCCCAGGGUAACCUACUCUGUAAAACUGAGAUUAACCAUGCAUGAAAAAAGAUGGAUGUUCAAUAAUAAAGAGGACAUUUGAAACAUUUUUAAAAAGAAAAACCAGAACUGAAAAAAUUAUUUGCUCCUCCAACAUCCCAAAUAACAGAAAGGCAGAAAGAAUUAAUAAAUCCAGCAGCCAAGGACAGCAACAGAACGACAGCAGAGAGAGAACAGUAAUAGGCUUCUUUCAAAAUGUACACAUAGAAUGAAAGCAGAAAUCUGUUUGAGGAGGAAGAAAGAGAGGUAUGGCCAAGAAAAAAAAGUGGGGAAGAUAACUGUGACUGUGAUGAACACUCCAACAUGGAGACAGCUUUCUGGAAGGAAAAUGGCAGAAGAGGACAAUAUGAUAUAAGUAAUGAAGAAAGAUGUCAAUAAUUUUUAAAAUUUAUUCAUAGAUGAAUUUGGCUUCAGGAUCAUUUGACCACAUACUCUGCCAAUAUAUGAUGUUUUAAAAUCCUCUGAAAAGCUAAACAAGGCUUGGAAAAAAUAAAAACACUUAAUGUAGAUAACAAGUAUGCAACUUACA